UAGGGGUGAAAGGCCAAUCAAACUCCGUGAUAGCUGGUACUCCCCGAAAUGCAUUUAGGUGCAGCCUGGGAUAAGAGUAUCACGGAGGUAGAGCUACUGAUUGGGCUAGAGGGCUUCACAGCCUAUCAAACCCUGACAAACUCCGAAUGCCGUGAUAUGUUUUCCUGGAGUGAGCCGCGGGGUGCUAAGGUCACGCGACGAGAGGGCAAGAACCCAGACCAUCAGCUAAAGGUCCCCAAAUAUAUGCUAAGUUGAAAAAACGAGGUUUGACUGCAUUGACAGCUAGGAUGUUGGCUUGGAAGCAGCCAUUCAUUUAAAGAUGCGUAACAGCUCACUAGUCGAGCGGUUGGGCGUGGAUAAUAAUCGGGCAUCAAGCAUGUUACCGAAGCUAUGGAUUACACAGCAAUGUGUACUGGUAGGGGAGCAUUCCAAUUGCGGCGAAGGUUGGCUGUAAGGCCUGCUGGAGCGGUUGGAAAAGCAAAUGUAGGCAUAAGUAACGACAAUCCCGGUGGGAAACCGGGACACCGAAAGACCAAGGUUUCCUGAUCAACGAUAAUCGGAUCAGGGUUAGUCGGGGCCUAAGGAUAAGCCGAAAGGCGAUGCCGAUGGACAACAGGUUAAUAUUCCUGUACCACCCAGGUGGAGCGAGGCGGGGACGCAGCAAGGUAGACCAGCCGGGGGAUGGAAGUCCCGGUGCCGAACGGGUAGGGCUGUGAUCUGGAUAGGCAAAUCCGUCCAGGGAGCUUGAGCCGUUGUAGGCGGAGCGUUAGCUCAGAAGUGGUUGAGCCUAAACUGUCAAGAAAAGCCGCUAAGCGAUGAGAUCGGGUGUCCGUACCGCAAACCGACACCGGUAGACGGGUAGAAUAUACCCAGGCGAUCGGGGAAACCCUCGUUAAGGAACUAGGCAAAAUAGAUCCGUAACUUCGGGAGAAGGAUCGCCCCUGGUGGUGAAAUUUUUACUAAUCGAGCUGCUGGGGGCCGCAGAGAAAUGGCUCUAUCGACUGUUUAACAAAAACACAGGUCUGUGCUAACGCGUAAGCGGAUGUAUACGGGCUGACGCCUGCCCAGUGCCGGAAGGUUAACCCAGUGAACGGCGGCCGUAACUAUAACGGUCCUAAGGUAGCGAAAUUCCUUGUCGGGUAAGUUCCGACCCGCACGAAUGGAGUAACGACGGGGGCACUGUCUCAACGAGGGACCCGGCGAAAUUGAACUACGCGUAAAGAUGCGCAUUACCCGCAGCAGGACAAAAAGACCCCGUGGAGCUUUACUGUAGCCUGUCAUUGCGUUAGGGCAUGUUCUGUGUAGGAUAGCUGGGAGACAGCGAAACCUGGUCGCUAGAUUGGGUGGAGUCGCCGGUGAAAUACCAGCCUGAAGAUGUUUUGACCCUAACUUCGAACUACUGAAUCGUAGCGGAGGACAGUGGCAGGUGGGCAGUUUGACUGGGGCGGUCGCCUCCCAAAAAGUAACGGAGGCGCCCAAAGGUUGGCUCAGGUGGAAUGGAAACCCACCGUGGCGUGUAAUGGCACAAGCCAGCUUGACUGCGAGGCCUACAAGCCGAGCAGAGACGAAAGUCGGGCUUAGUGAUCCCACGGUCCCGUGUGGAAGGGCCGUGGCUUACCGGAUAAAAGCUACCCCGGGGAUAACAGGCUGGUGAGAUCCAAGAGUUCACAUCGACGAUCUCGCUCGGCACCUCGAUGUCGGCUCAUCGCAUCCUGGGGUUGAAGAAGGUCCCAAGGGUU
rnacentral:rRNA from 1 species